rnacentral:rRNA from 1 species
UACGCAGGCGGAAAAUUAAGUCAGUGGUGAAAUCCUGCAGCUUAACUGUAGAACUGUCAUUGAUACUGGUUUUCUUGAAUGUAGUUGAGGUAGGCGGAAUGUGUAAUGUAGCGGUGAAAUGCUUAGAUAUUACACAGAACACCGAUUGCGAAGGCAGCUUACUAAGCUACUAUUGACGCUGAGGUACGAAAGCGUGGGGAGCGAACAGGAUUAGAUACCCUGGUAGUCC